rnacentral:rRNA from 1 species
CCCUUAGAUGUUCUGGGAUGCACGCGCGUUACACUGAUUCGUUCAACGAGUUUAUGACCUUGCCUGAUGAGGUGGGGGAAUCUUUUCAAAUCGCAUCGUGAUGGGGAUAGAGUAUUGUAACUGUUAGUCUUCAACGAGGAAUUCCUAGUAAGUACGUGUCAUCAGCUCGUACUGAUUAUGUCCCUGCCCUUUGUACACACCGCCCGUCGCUCCUACCGAUUGAGUGCUCAAGUGAAUAGUAUGGACUGCAUCAGUGUUCGGUCUCCGAAUGUUGAAGCGAGAAAUUCUGUGAAUCUUAUUGCUUAGAGGAAGGAGAAGUCGUAACA